rnacentral:rRNA from 1 species
CGAACGCUGGCGGCGUGCCUAAUACAUGCAAGUAGAACGCUGAAAGAGGAGCUUGCUCUUCUGGAUGAGUUGCGAACGGGUGAGUAACGCGUAGGUAACCUGCCUGGUAGCGGGGGAUAACUAUUGGAAACGAUAGCUAAUACCGCAUAAUAGCAGUUGUUGCAUGACAACUGUUUAAAAGGUGCAAUUGCAUCACUACCAGAUGGAUCUGCGUUGUAUUAGCUAGUUGGUGGGGUAACGGCUCACCAAGGCGACGAUACAUAGCCGACCUGAGAGGGUGAUCGGCCACACUGGGACUGAGACACGGCCCAGACUCCUACGGGAGGCAGCAGUAGGGAAUCUUCGGCAAUGGACGGAAGUCUGACCGAGCAACGCCGCGUGAGUGAAGAAGGUUUUCGGAUCGUAAAGCUCUGUUGUAAGAGAAGAACGAGUGUGAGAGUGGAAAGUUCACACUGUGACGGUAUCUUACCAGAAAGGGACGGCUAACUACGUGCCAGCAGCCGCGGUAAUACGUAGGUCCCGAGCGUUGUCCGGAUUUAUUGGGCGUAAAGCGAGCGCAGGCGGUUAGAUAAGUCUGAAGUUAAAGGCUGUGGCUUAACCAUAGUACGCUUUGGAAACUGUUUAACUUGAGUGCAAGAGGGGAGAGUGGAAUUCCAUGUGUAGCGGUGAAAUGCGUAGAUAUAUGGAGGAACACCGGUGGCGAAAGCGGCUCUCUGGCUUGU